GGGAUAACAGCUGGAAACGGCUGCUAAUACCGCAUAAGCGCACGAGGAGACAUCUCCUAGUGUGAAAAACUCCGGCGGUACAGGAUGGGCCCGCGUCUGAUUAGCUGGUUGGCAGGGUAACGGCCUACCAAGGCAACGAUCAGUAGCCGGUCCGAGAGGAUGAACGGCCACAUUGGAACUGAGACACGUUCCAAACUCCUACGGGAGGCAGCAGUGGGGAAUAUUGCACAAUGGGGGAAACCCUGAUGCAGCAACGCCGCGUGAGUGAAGAAGUAUUUCGGUAUGUAAAGCUCUAUCAGCAGGGAAGAUAAUGACGGUACCUGACUAAGAAGCUCCGGCUAAAUACGUGCCAGCAGCCGCGGUAAUACGUAUGGAGCAAGCGUUAUCCGGAUUUACUGGGUGUAAAGGGUGCGUAGGUGGCAGUGCAAGUCAGAUGUGAAAGGCCGGGGCUCAACCCCGGAGCUGCAUUUGAAACUGCUCGGCUAGAGUACAGGAGAGGCAGGCGGAAUUCCUAGUGUAGCGGUGAAAUGCGUAGAUAUUAGGAGGAACACCAGUGGCGAAGGCGGCCUGCUGGACUGUUACUAACACUGAGGCACGAAAGCGUGGGGAGCAAACAGGAUUAGAUACCCUGGUAGUCCACGCCGUAAA
rnacentral:rRNA from 1 species